rfam:Tupaia chinensis contig57408, whole genome shotgun sequence.
AUGAAAUAAUACAUAUUGUUAGUGGGACAGUGGCCAUGGAAGUCAGAAUCCACUAAGGAAUGUGUAACAACUCGUCUGCCAAAUCAGCUAGCCCUCUGAAAAUGGAUGGUGCCGGA